rnacentral:lncRNA from 1 species
CUCUUUCUGAGAUCUUUACUUUUUCUUAUUUUCCUCAAAAUUCUUACGGUUUACGUUUUUCUUUGAGAAAUAACUCUCAACAUGGUCGUCUUAGCUGCGAUAAAGCUUGAUUUCUUGGCCUCCUUUUCUUUGGAUUUUAUUUGACACCUUCACCAAUGCCACACUUUUUUGAACAUAGGGAUUGCAUUUCUUUAGAGUCUGUACGAAAUCGAAAGAUUUUGAAAUUCAGAAAUCAAAGUCAUUUUGGGGUCGAUGCUCUUGCUAUGUUGGUAAUCUGAUGGGAAAGAAAUUGCACCCUUUCUUUUAAAAUAUAUUUUGUAGGUGACUCAGCUUUUGGAGAAAAAUUUCAAAGACGACUUCAUGGCUUUCGGAAACAUCCUACACAUCCUGUAACAAAUUUAUCACCUGUCCUAAUUACAUAUGAUCUCUGUUGUUGCCUUUCUUUUCAUAGAAAUACAAAAUGCUAACAAUUUCAUUCUCUUUGUUAUGAAAAACAAGGAAAAUAAAAAAUUAAUGGAUGCCUGAUCUCCCUCUCCCUCAAAUUGUCAAAUAAACAAAUAAUUGAAAUACUGAUGCUGUUUAACACACUUUCAAAGGUUAGUACUUGCCUGGAUGACUACUUAGAAGCAGGUAUUUUCAAUGUGUGAUUGUUGCAUAAUUUUUGUUUUCUGUAUUUAAUGUUUUUAUUGACUGUUUAAAAUAUUGAAAUUGCUUUUAUUAUUUUUCUGGUUAAACACAAAGUCAUUUGUAGGAAAUGCAGCUUGUACUUUUACCAUUAGACUUACUUUGUAUGUGACGUUAUUUAUUUUUGGGCUAAAUUUUUAUUUUAUGUUUGUUGAGUUUUUCUUACCAGUGUAUUACAAAAGAGGAUUUUGAGCUUACCAGAGUUACGCUGGUGGAUGUUAAAGGAGAGAUGGACUUCAUAUUACUGGUUUCUGCUUUCUUCUUCAUGAUUAACUAGUCCCCCCCCCCCCACCCCAACCCACUAUUCAGUUAUUGUAAUACUCGAGAAUAAGAAAACUAUAUACAUUGGUCAAUGUUAUGGGUUACGGGUAUCUUAUUUUCAUUAAUAACACUUUUGAUUGCCAUAGCAUACGGUAACACAAUUGGGUCAUCAGAUGAUAUCGUUGCUUACAUGUGAGUAGCCUUCCGGUAAAAAAGUAUCAGAUACAGUGUCACCUCAGAACUAAAGGAGAUACUCAGUUGUAUCAAAUGUAUAGCCAAAAGUGUAUAGUCUACCUCAUAAUGCCAUGCUCAUUAUCUGCACUGGACAUGGAGACACAGCAGUUGGAAUAGGUAAGUAGUAGUAUGGCUUUUAUAAACUGAUUGUUU